rnacentral:rRNA from 1 species
GAUGAACGCUGGCGGCGUGCCUAAUACAUGCAAGUCGAGCGAACAGAUGAGGAGCUUGCUCCUCUGACGUUAGCGGCGGACGGGUGAGUAACACGUGGAUAACCUACCUAUAAGACUGGGAUAACUUCGGGAAACCGGAGCUAAUACCGGAUAAUAUAUUGAACCGCAUGGUUCAAUAGUGAAAGACGGUUUUGCUGUCACUUAUAGAUGGAUCCGCGCCGCAUUAGCUAGUUGGUAAGGUAACGGCUUACCAAGGCAACGAUGCGUAGCCGACCUGAGAGGGUGAUAGGCCACACUGGAACUGAGACACGGUCCCGACUCCUACGGGAGGCAGCAGUAGGGAAUCUUCCGCAAUGGGCGAAAGCCUGACGGAGCAACGCCGCGUGAGUGAUGAAGGUCUUCGGAUCGUAAAACUCUGUUAUUAGGGAAGAACAAAUGUGUAAGUAACUAUGCACGUCUUGACGGUACCUAAUCAGAAAGCCACGGCUAACUACGUG